GACGAACGCUGGCGGUGUGCUUCACACAUGCAAGUCGAACGAGGUAGCAAUACCUAGUGGCGGACGGGUGAGUAACGCGUGGGAAUCUGCCCUAAGGCGGGGGAUAACAAACCGAAAGGUUUGCUAAUACCGCAUAUGCCGAAAGGUAAAAGGAGUAAUUCGCCUUUGGAUGAGCCCGCGUCCGAUUAGCUAGUUGGUGGGGUAAAAGCCUACCAAGGCUUCGAUCGGUAGCUGGUCUGAGAGGAUGAUCAGCCACAAUGGGACUGAGACACGGCCCAUACUCCUACGGGAGGCAGCAGUGGGGAAUUUUACGCAAUGGGGGAAACCCUGACGUAGCGACACCGCGUGAGCGAAGAAGCCCUUUGGGGUGUAAAGCUCUGUCGGCAGGGACGAAAAAAAUGACGGUACCUGCAAAGGAAGCAUCGGCUAACUACGUGCCAGCAGCCGCCGCAGUAA
rnacentral:rRNA from 1 species